GUGUUAAACAAAUUCGUUUGCAACUCACCAUAACUAUCACAAAGCCCCUGAAGGUGCUCUAGCACCACAUGGUUUACAGUCUCAACAUUGAGAUUCGGGCUCAUUAACUAGAUGAUGAGGUCGCAGUCGCUUUCAGCGUUGAGUAGGGCUCAGUCUCUGAGUAGAGUCAAUUUCCUCCCCAAUAACUCAAGUAAAUGUAAGUUUUCAGGAACCUGACCUUGCCUCCGCAAGACCAAGUCAAGACCACCAGAGCUAGGAGCCAUAGCAGUAUUAGCCAUGGGAGGAGGAGGAGGAGGCGGUAUUUCUUCGGCCACCAUAGGCUCCAACAUAACAAUCAUUAGAGUGGAGAGCAUCUUCU
rnacentral:misc_RNA from 1 species